CAGUAGCCACGGUAAUACGAAGGGGGCUAGCGUUGUUCGGAUUUACUGGGCGUAAAGCGCACGUAGGCGGAUCGAUCAGUCAGGGGUGAAAUCCCAGAGCUCAACUCUGGAACUGCCUUUGAUACUGUCGAUCUGGAGUAUGGAAGAGGUGAGUGGAAUUCCGAGUGUAGAGGCGAAAUUCGUAGAUAUUCGGAGGAACACCAGUGGCGAAGGCGGCUCACUGGUCCAUUACUGACGCUGAGGUGCGAAAGCGUGGGGAGCAAACAGGAUUAGAUACCCCUGUAGUCCCUGUCUCUUAUAC
rnacentral:rRNA from 1 species